rnacentral:lncRNA from 1 species
GCUGAGCGUUAAAUUCUCAUCUGGCUGCCACAACCGAACAGAACAAACGUCAGUGGUUCAAAUGCGGACAUUUUUAAUAUUUGUCUGACAGAUCUUAAAUAGAAAUAUAACACGGCUCAAAAAAAAAAAAAGAAAAAAAGUGAUGAGGCGCGUUGGUACUAGUUUGUUGAACACAAUUGUACAUAUGUACAUAUAUUUCUGUGGGUAUUCGCUUAAAUAUAGAUCGAUACUAUAGUCCGCUUCAAUAUAAAAGAAGAACGCACUCGCCCGUUCGGAGACAGAUCCCGUUCAAUCCCCGAACCGAGUAUGAAAUCGAUCGGACUUGCCUUAUCUGUGCUGCUUCUUUGCUGCCUUCUGGCUGUGGUCAACGGUAAUUGAUAUUAAAUCGUGAUUUCUAGUGGGUGACAUCUCUAUUGACAGAGGAAACAACUUUCUUUGUUUAACUUGCAGCCACGCCUGGUAAGGUGUACAUUAACGGAAAAUGCAUUGAUUGCAAUCGACCAGAUGGCGACGAUUCUAUAGUUAUUCCCGAGGAACCCAGGUCGGGAGCAAUGUCCUACGCUCUCACAUCUGGAGCCAUACUAUUUGGAGCACUAUAUCAUCUUUUAAGUUAGUUCUACGUGUAGUAUGAAUAUGAAUAAAAAACAUCAAAUAUCAAAGCUAUUAUCCUAUACAUUGUAUGUAAAGUUAGUUGCGUCAGAGGAAUACUCCUCACACCAGCUACGCAAGGAAUCAAUCAAGAACAAUCGUUCACUGAUAAACGAGAAAAUACGUAUAGAUCCAAACUUAUACCAUUGUAAUUAUAAUGGAUUCGAAUGUAUAAAAAUUGAUUAUUCUUUAAUAAAUAAUAAAUAAACAUUUAUUCUCGCCUUGGCAAGUUCCAUGUAAACGUUAUUCUAGAUAAGCGAACGGAGCCAGAC